GACGAACGCUGGCGGCGUGCUUAACACAUGCAAGUCGUGCGGAAAGGCCCCUUUUUGGGGUGCUCGAGCGGCGAACGGGUGAGUAACACGUGAGUGACCUGCCCUGCGCUUGGGGAUAACCCUCGGAAACGGGGGCUAAUACCCGAUAUUCAUACGGGUUUGCAUGGGCUCGUGUGGAAAGGUUUUUCUGGCGUGGGAUGGGCUCGCGGCCUAUCAGCUUGUUGGUGGGGUGAUGGCCUACCAAGCCGAAGACGGGUAGCUGGUCUGAGAGGAUGAUCAGCCACACUGGAACUGAGACACGGUCCAGACUCCUACGGGAGGCAGCAGUGGGGAAUCUUGCGCAAUGGGCGAAAGCCUGACGCAGCGACGCCGCGUGAGUGAUGAAGGCCCUCGGGUUGUAAAGCUCUGUGGAGGGGACGAAGUAAGGGUUGGCCAAUAUCCAGCUCGAUGACGGUACCCUUUAGCAAGCACGGCUAACUACGUGCCAGCCGCCGCCGC
rnacentral:rRNA from 1 species